rnacentral:rRNA from 1 species
CAUGCGACUAGAGUGUGAUCCUGGCUCACUGGCGGAUUAUUGACGAACGGGUCCGUCACACGUGAGUAACCUGCCCUUGACUUCGGGAUAACUCCGGGAAACCGGGGCUAAUACCGGAUAUGAGCCGUCCUCGCAUGGGGGUGGUUGGAAAGUUUUUCGGUCAGGGAUGGGCUCGCGGCCUAUCAGCUUGUUGGUGGGGUGAUGGCCUACCAAGGCGACGACGGGUAGCCGGCCUGAGAGGGCGACCGGCCACACUGGGACUGAGACACGGCCCAGACUCCUACGGGAGGCAGCAGUGGGGAAUAUUGCACAAUGGGCGAAAGCCUGAUGCAGCGACGCCGCGUGAGGGAUGAAGGCCUUCGGGUUGUAAACCUCUUUCAGCAGGGAAGAAGCGCAAGUGACGGUACCUGCAGAAGAAGCGCCGGCUAACUACGUGCCAGCAGCCGCGGUAAUACGUAGGGCGCAAGCGUUGUCCGGAAUUAUUGGGCGUAAAGAGCUCGUAGGCGGUUUGUCGCGUCUGGUGUGAAAACUCGAGGCUCAACCUCGAGCUUGCAUCGGGUACGGGCAGACUAGAGUGCGGUAGGGGAGACUGGAAUUCCUGGUGUAGCGGUGGAAUGCGCAGAUAUCAGGAGGAACACCGAUGGCGAAGGCAGGUCUCUGGGCCGCAACUGACGCUGAGGAGCGAAAGCAUGGGGAGCGAACAGGAUUAGAUACCCUGGUAGUCCAUGCCGUAAACGUUGGGCACUAGGUGUGGGGCUCAUUCCACGAGUUCCGUGCCGCAGCAAACGCAUUAAGUGCCCCGCCUGGGGAGUACGGGCGCAAGGCUAAAACUCAAAGGAAUUGACGGGGGCCCGCACAAGCGGCGGAGCAUGCGGAUUAAUUCGAUGCAACGCGAGAACUUUACCAAGCCUUGACAUGCACGGGAAGCACACCAGAGAUGUUGGUCUCUUUGCAACCCAUCCACAGCUGGUGCAUGGUUGUCGUCAGCUCGUUC